GGUUCGGUGGUCUGCUGGCUGUGCCACUCAGGUUUUCACCCUGGGAUACGCGGGUUCGAUUCCCGUCCGAACUA
rnacentral:tRNA from 1 species